CUCCAGGGGCCCCUCAAAGCCCUCAUUGUGACUGGGCUCAUCCCAGACGCCAGGCUGGCUGGCUCCACACCAGUGAGGGGCAAAGGCGCAGCCUCUCCUGGUGGGGCUGCAUGGAGGGAGGGGCACCCACCUUUUCAGAGACCCCCUCCUCUCAAUUCCAGUGGGCUCCUUCUGAUGUUUCUGGGGGGCAUCACCAGACUGGGCCUGGGCAACUAGCCCUGGCUGCCCUCCCUCCUGCUUGGCCACCCUCUGCCCCUCAGCCACUAACCGGCAUCCAGGGUAGGGUCUUUCUGCGCCCACCCACCCGCGGGGAGGCCGAAUGGACCAGGGCGGGAAAGGUGUCUGACCACGUUCCUCACUCAGCCCGGAAGGCCCCGGGGCCUCUCAUGGAGCCUGGGCAGCGCCCUCCAAGGCCUGCAGGCCACAGAGCGGGCUGCUGCCUCCGCCCCGCCCCGCCCCGCAGAGGGGCCGCCCGCCGGCCUCGGUGCCCAAACCUAGGUGCGUGGCGCGCCACCCUCGCCGACUGGGGAGGGGAGCGGGCACCUGAAAGACCGCGCCCGGCGUGGGGUCCUCUCUCGGCAGCUCAGCCCCUCCGGGAACCCCGCGGCGCGGCAGGCUGAGAAUCCAUCAACCUGAUUAUACAUUCAGGAGCUGGGGUGACGACCACUGUGGUCCGUGGACUGCCUUAACCAGGAACCCCCUUAUUGCCUGACCCCACGUGCCCCAGCUCAAUGUCCAUGAUGCUGCUUCAGGUUUCCAGAAGCGGCCUCAUGGAGAGGCCCACAAGGUUCGGAGCUGAUGGAAGUCCCCGCCAGUGGGGACUGGAAGCCACCACACCCCCCGGAGGGAAUGCAGAAGUGAGCCUGACUUGGUCGAACCUUCCGCUGAGACUGCAGCCCACUCAGCACUUUGAAGCAGAGGAGGCAGCUCAGCCACGCGUGGAUCCCAGGCCCACUGAAACCAGGGAAUAAUAA